rnacentral:rRNA from 1 species
GGGUUGUGAGGUUAAGCGACUAAGCGUACACGGUGGAUGCCCUGGCAGUCAGAGGCGAUGAAGGACGUGCUAAUCUGCGAUAAGCGUCGGUAAGGUGAUAUGAACCGUUAUAACCGGCGAUUUCCGAAUGGGGAAACCCAGUGUGAUUCGUCACACUAUCAUUAACUGAAUCCAUAGGUUAAUGAGGCGAACCGGGGGAACUGAAACAUCUAAGUACCCCGAGGAAAAGAAAUCAACCGAGAUUCCCCCAGUAGCGGCGAGCGAACGGGGAGCAGCCCAGAGCCUGAAUCAGUGUGUGUGUUAGUGGAAGCGUCUGGAAAGGCGCGCGAUACAGGGUGACAGCCCCGUACACAAAAAUGCACAUACUGUGAGCUCGAUGAGUAGGGCGGGACACGUGGUAUCCUGUCUGAAUAUGGGGGGACCAUCCUCCAAGGCUAAAUACUCCUGACUGACCGAUAGUGAACCAGUACCGUGAGGGAAAGGCGAAAAGAACCCCGGCGAGGGGAGUGAAAAAGAACCUGAAACCGUGUACGUACAAGCAGUGGGAGCACAGAGCAAUCUGUGUGACUGCGUACCUUUUGUAUAAUGGGUCAGCGACUUAUAUUCUGUAGCAAGGUUAACCGAAUAGGGGAGCCGAAGGGAAACCGAGUCUUAACUGGGCGUUAAGUUGCAGGGUAUAGACCCGAAACCCGGUGAUCUAGCCAUGGGCAGGUUGAAGGUUGGGUAACACUAACUGGAGGACCGAACCGACUAAUGUUGAAAAAUUAGCGGAUGACUUGUGGCUGGGGGUGAAAGGCCAAUCAAACCGGGAGAUAGCUGGUUCUCCCCGAAAGCUAUUUAGGUAGCGCCUCGUGAAUUCAUCUCCGGGGGUAGAGCACUGUUUCGGCAAGGGGGUCAUCCCGACUUACCAACCCGAUGCAAACUGCGAAUACCGGAGAAUGUUAUCACGGGAGACACACGGCGGGUGCUAACGUCCGUCGUGAAGAGGGAAACAACCCAGACCGCCAGCUAAGGUCCCAAAGUCAUGGUUAAGUGGGAAACGAUGUGGGAAGGCCCAGACAGCCAGGAUGUUGGCUUAGAAGCAGCCAUCAUUUAAAGAAAGCGUAAUAGCUCACUGGUCGAGUCGGCCUGCGCGGAAGAUGUAACGGGGCUAAACCAUGCACCGAAGCUGCGGCAGCGACGCUUAUGCGUUGUUGGGUAGGGGAGCGUUCUGUAAGCCUGCGAAGGUGUGCUGUGAGGCAUGCUGGAGGUAUCAGAAGUGCGAAUGCUGACAUAAGUAACGAUAAAGCGGGUGAAAAGCCCGCUCGCCGGAAGACCAAGGGUUCCUGUCCAACGUUAAUCGGGGCAGGGUGAGUCGACCCCUAAGGCGAGGCCGAAAGGCGUAGUCGAUGGGAAACAGGUUAAUAUUCCUGUACUUGGUGUUACUGCGAAGGGGGGACGGAGAAGGCUAUGUUGGCCGGGCGACGGUUGUCCCGGUUUAAGCGUGUAGGCUGGUUUUCCAGGCAAAUCCGGAAAAUCAAGGCUGAGGCGUGAUGACGAGGCACUACGGUGCUGAAGCAACAAAUGCCCUGCUUCCAGGAAAAGCCUCUAAGCAUCAGGUAACAUCAAAUCGUACCCCAAACCGACACAGGUGGUCAGGUAGAGAAUACCAAGGCGCUUGAGAGAACUCGGGUGAAGGAACUAGGCAAAAUGGUGCCGUAACUUCGGGAGAAGGCACGCUGAUAUGUAGGUGAAGUCCCUCGCGGAUGGAGCUGAAAUCAGUCGAAGAUACCAGCUGGCUGCAACUGUUUAUUAAAAACACAGCACUGUGCAAACACGAAAGUGGACGUAUACGGUGUGACGCCUGCCCGGUGCCGGAAGGUUAAUUGAUGGGGUUAGCGCAAGCGAAGCUCUUGAUCGAAGCCCCGGUAAACGGCGGCCGUAACUAUAACGGUCCUAAGGUAGCGAAAUUCCUUGUCGGGUAAGUUCCGACCUGCACGAAUGGCGUAAUGAUGGCCAGGCUGUCUCCACCCGAGACUCAGUGAAAUUGAACUCGCUGUGAAGAUGCAGUGUACCCGCGGCAAGACGGAAAGACCCCGUGAACCUUUACUAUAGCUUGACACUGAACAUUGAGCCUUGAUGUGUAGGAUAGGUGGGAGGCUUUGAAGUGUGGACGCCAGUCUGCAUGGAGCCGACCUUGAAAUACCACCCUUUAAUGUUUGAUGUUCUAACGUUGACCCGUAAUCCGGGUUGCGGACAGUGUCUGGUGGGUAGUUUGACUGGGGCGGUCUCCUCCUAAAGAGUAACGGAGGAGCACGAAGGUUGGCUAAUCCUGGUCGGACAUCAGGAGGUUAGUGCAAUGGCAUAAGCCAGCUUGACUGCGAGCGUGACGGCGCGAGCAGGUGCGAAAGCAGGUCAUAGUGAUCCGGUGGUUCUGAAUGGAAGGGCCAUCGCUCAACGGAUAAAAGGUACUCCGGGGAUAACAGGCUGAUACCGCCCAAGAGUUCAUAUCGACGGCGGUGUUUGGCACCUCGAUGUCGGCUCAUCACAUCCUGGGGCUGAAGUAGGUCCCAAGGGUAUGGCUGUUCGCCAUUUAAAGUGGUACGCGAGCUGGGUUUAGAACGUCGUGAGACAGUUCGGUCCCUAUCUGCCGUGGGCGCUGGAGAACUGAGGGGGGCUGCUCCUAGUACGAGAGGACCGGAGUGGACGCAUCACUGGUGUUCGGGUUGUCAUGCCAAUGGCACUGCCCGGUAGCUAAAUGCGGAAGAGAUAAGUGCUGAAAGCAUCUAAGCACGAAACUUGCCCCGAGAUGAGUUCUCCCUGACUCCUUGAGAGUCCUGAAGGAACGUUGAAGACGACGACGUUGAUAGGCCGGGUGUGUAAGCGCAGCGAUGCGUUGAGCUAACCGGUACUAAUGAACCGUGAGGCUUAACCUUACAACGCCGAAGGUGUUU